GUAAAAGUGCCAGCUAGCACAGUGGAGAUCAUCAGUGAUAUGAGAAGUGGAAGCCUGAUAAGUACUGGAGGUACGACUAGUGUAGGCAGUGGUGGUUUGAUCAGCAGGACAGAAAGUGGGUAUAUGAUGAAUAAUGUGGUAAGUGGACACAUGAUAACUAGUGCAGGAUGUGGACAUAUGAUAACUAGUGCAGGAAGUGGACACAUGAUAACUAGUGCAGGAUGUGGACACAUGAUAACUAGUGCAGGAAGUGGACACAUGAUAACUAGUGCAGAAAGUGGACAUAUGAUAACUAGUGCAGGAAGUGGACAGAUGAUAACUAGUGCAGGAAGUGGACAGAUGAUAACUAGUGCAGGAAGUGGACACAUGAUAACUAGUGCAGGAAGUGGACACAUGAUAACUAGUGCAGGAAGUGGAGGAAGUGAAGAAUGGAUGGUUUAUGGUGGAGGUACAGGAAGAGUCAGUGGUUCAGGUAGUGGAGGCAGACUCAGUGGUCCAGGUAGUGGAGGCAGACUCAGUGGUCCAGGUAGUGGAGGCAGACUCAGUGGUCCAGGUAGUGGAGGCAGACUCAGUGGUCCAGGUAGUGGAGGCAGACUCAGUGGUCCAGGUAGUGGAGGCAGACUCAGUGGUCCAGGUAGUGGAGGCAGACUCAGUGGUCCAGGUAGUGGAGGCAGACUCAGUGGUCCAGGUAGUGGAGGCAGACUCAGUGGUCCAGGUAGUGGAGGCAGACUCAGUGGUCCAGGUAGUGGAGGCAGACUCAGUGGUCCAGGUAGUGGACAUAAGAUAAGUGGUACCAGUGGUGGAGAUCAAAUUAAAUGUAAUAGUAUCGGCAAUGGAGUCUGGACCCAUGUAAAUUCCGAAAGUGUCACUCAGUUUAACAGAAACGCGGGCAAUGAAAGGACUGGUAGACUUAGCAGUGCAGGAAGUGGAGAAUGGAAGGUUUAUAGUAGAAGUAAUGGACAGAUCAGCAAGGCAGGAAGUGGGGGAAGAAUCAGCAGUGCUGGAAGUGGGGACAUGAUCAGUAGUGCUGGAAGUGGAGGUAGACUAAGUAGUGCAGGUAGUGGACAUAUGAUCAGUAGUGCAGGAAGUGGAGGUAGACUGAGUAGCAGUAGCACAGGAAGUGGAGGUAGUGGACAUAUGAUCAGUAGUGCAGGUACUAGUGGACAGAGAAUUAGUAGUACACAGGGUGGUGUCAGGAUCAGCAGUGGGGGUAGUCGAGUGAUUACCAGCAGUGGUGGUCCAGCCAGCAGCCCCAGCAGAGUGACCAUCAGGAACACAGGAAGUGGAGGCGGUGGAGGCAGAGAGCGAAUCAGCGUCUGUAAAAUGGCUGCCCUCUCCAUAUCAGCUGCCGUGAAAGAAAGAGAAAAGGCCCAGGAGGUCCGCCGGGAAUCCUACACAAAACAGGUGUCAGCCACCAGUCCUCGGGUCCAGCGGUGGGUGAGGACAUCGGUGGAAGAAACUGUAGACAACAGUAAAACUGAUGACGACAGUGUGCCAUUCUGAGUGGACAGAGGAGCAAGGCAUAAUGACAAAAUAGUCACACUACUUAUAGUUAAUACAUAUCUAUUACAUUGCGUUCCAUCAACGGAGCAUUAAUACCUUUUAAAUGACCAGUAUCACAAUGCACCUUCAUGUUAGAAAACAUGUUUUCACAGGAUCUCUGUCUGCAAUCAUUCCUGUUACUGUGCCUUUCAUCCUUGCUGUGAGUUUUCUGUUUGAACAGUAAUCUAUAAAGUUCUGAAAUAUACUCUGACGUAGUUAUAGGGAUGAAGGGGUGAUGGAAUUUGUUCUACGCCAAACAAUUUUAUCUUAUUGGAUUCGGUUUCCUUGUAAAACGCUUACACUAACAUUUAUCUAGAUGGCAGUACAUGCAUUUAGGUGAUCAGUUGUGGAGCGAGUCAGCUAGUCAUCUCAAUUGACACAUUUAUGCAAGUUAGUAUAACUUUUAGAUUUUAUUUUAGUAGUUUGAAAUCAAUGUAUUAAAGCUUCUGAUGACUUAUUACUUUAUAUUAUUUUUAAUGAUGAAGAAAAUAUUUUGUUGUUA
rnacentral:lncRNA from 1 species